GAAUAUUGGACAAUGGGCGCAAGCCUGAUCCAGCCAUACCGCGUGGGUGAAGAAGGCCUUCGGGUUGUAAAGCCCUUUUGUUGGGAAAGAAAAGCAGUCGGCUAAUACCCGGUUGUUCUGACGGUACCCAAAGAAUAAGCACCGGCUAACUUCGUGCCAGCAGCCGCGGUAAUACGACGGGUGCAAGCGUUACUCGGAAUUACUGGGCGUAAAGCGUGCGUAGGUGGUGGCUUAAGUCCGUUGUGAAAGCCCUGGGCUCAACCUGGGAAUUGCAGUGGAUACUGGGUCACUAGAGUGUGGUAGAGGGUGGCGGAAUUCCCGGUGUAGCAGUGAAAUGCGUAGAGAUCGGGAGGAACACCCGUGGCGAAGGCGGCCACCUGGGCCAACACUGACACUGAGGCACGAAAGCGUGGGGAGCAAACAG
rnacentral:rRNA from 1 species